UACAGAGGGUGCGAGCGUUGUUCGGAAUUACUGGGCGUAAAGCGCGCGCAGGCGGCCCUUUAAGUCCAUCGGUCAAAUGCCGGAGCUCAACUCCGUGCGUGCCGAGGAUACUGGAGGGCUGGAGACACGUAGAGGCAAGCGGAAUUCCGGGUGUAGCGGUGGAAAUGCGUAGAUACUGGGAGGAACACCAGUGGCGAAGGCGGACUCACUGGCCCGGUACGU
rnacentral:rRNA from 1 species